CAGACACCAGUUUAAUAUUUGGCCUACAACGGUCCCUGGCCCGGAGCAGCCCUCAUGUGUUACAAAUGCAACACGGACUCUCACCCCAACUGCGCAGACAACCCCAGCAUCAACAUGACCGUCGACCACGAACCCAGCGCUUUCUUAGGUGGACCAUGCAUUGCCUGUUCCAAGACUAAACUAUUAUUUUCUAGUUCUGUGAAACGGGAUUGCGUGACAACGGAGUUGUUAAUCAUCAGAGAUGGGUGCAGCGGGUUCGGGAGUGUCUGCUACUGUCGCACCGAUUUGUGCAACCGUUCCGUCACCAUGGCAACACCAGCGACAUGGAUGCUAUUGUUGUUUCCCUUAGGAGCGAUAUUUACAAACAAAAUAUAAGCUUUACGAGUGUUGAACAAAAGUGUUGGAAAAAAUGCAUCAAAAACAUUAUAAUUCUUCACUCUCAUGUCAGACUAAGGUUCGAUCUUUUGUAUAUAUUUCUAUUGUCUACAAAAAUGUGAUCA